rnacentral:rRNA from 1 species
AACGAACGCUGGCGGCAUGCCUAACACAUGCAAGUCGAACGAGACCUUCGGGUCUAGUGGCGCACGGGUGCGUAACGCGUGGGAACCUGCCCUUAGGUUCGGAAUAACUCCCCGAAAGGGGUGCUAAUACCGGAUAAUGUCUUCGGACCAAAGAUUUAUCGCCUUUGGAUGGGCCCGCGUUGGAUUAGCUAGUUGGUAGGGUAAAAGCCUACCAAGGCGACGCUCCAUAGCUGGUCUGAGAGGAUGAUCAGCCACACUGGGACUGAGACACGGCCCAGACUACUACGGGAGGCAGCAGUGGGGAAUAUUGGACAAUGGGCGAAAGCCUGAUCCAGCAAUGCCGCGUGAGUGAUGAAGGCCUUAGGGUUGUAAAGCUCUUUUACCCGGGAUGAUAAUGACAGUACCGGGAGAAUAAGCUCCGGCUAACUCCGUG